rnacentral:rRNA from 1 species
GAUGAACGCUGGCGGCGUGCCUAAUACAUGCAAGUCGAGCGAACAGAUGAGGAGCUUGCUCCUCUGACGUUAGCGGCGGACGGGUGAGUAACACGUGGAUAACCUACCUAUAAGACUGGGAUAACUUCGGGAAACCGGAGCUAAUACCGGAUAAUAUAUUGAACCGCAUGGUUCAAUAGUGAAAGACGGUUUUGCUGUCACUUAUAGAUGGAUCCGCGCCGCAUUAGCUAGUUGGUAAGGUAACGGCUUACCAAGGCAACGAUGCGUAGCCGACCUGAGAGGGUGAUCGGCCACACUGGAACUGAGACACGGUCCAGACUCCUACGGGAGGCAGCAGUAGGGAAUCUUCCGCAAUGGGCGAAAUCCUGACGGAGCAACGCCGCGUGAGUGAUGAAGGUCUUCGGAUCGUAAAACUCUGUUAUUAGGGAAGAACAAAUGUGUAAGUAACUAUGCACGUCUUGACGGUACCUAAUCAGAAAGCCACGGCUAACUACGUG